UAGGGAAUCUUUCGCAAUGGGCGAAAGCCUGUCGGAGCAACGCCGCGUGAGUGAUGAAGGUCUUCGGAUCGUAAAACUCUGUUAUUAGGGAAGAACAAAUGUGUAAGUAACUAUGCACGUCUUGACGGUACCUAAUCAGAAAGCCACGGCUAACUACGUGCCAGCAGCCGCGGUAAUACGUAGGUGGCAAGCGUUAUCCGGAAUUGUGGGGCGUAAAGCGCGCGUAGGCGGUUUUUUAAGUCUGAUGUGAAAGCCCACGGCUCAACCGUGGAGGGUCAUUAGAAACUGGAAAACUUGAGUGCAGAAGAGGAAAGUGGAAUUCCAUGUGUAGCGGUGAAAUGCGCAGAGAUAUGGGGGAACACCAGUGGCGAAGGCGACUUUCUGGUCUGUAACUGACGCUGAUGUGCGAAAGCGUGGGGAUCAAACAGG
rnacentral:rRNA from 1 species